UCCAAUGUGGCCAUAUCUUUGGUAUGUAAAUUGCACGGUGCAAAAGCUAGUCGAUAAGUCGGGAUUGUGAACUUUUCUGCUGAUUUUCAGGGUAUCUAGGAAUUUAUGCAUGGCAAGGACUCUAGGUGCGAUCAAGUAUUGAUGUCUCAAAGGGAUUGUAUGGGUCCCGAUAUAUCCGGACAUUUCUUCUAAAGUCGGGGUUAGAUCAAAGUCCAAAAAGUGGAAGACGUUGUGGACCGGGUCC
rnacentral:lncRNA from 1 species